GAUGAAGAACGUAGCAAAAUGCGAUAAGUAAUGUGAAUUGCAGAAUUCAGUGAAUCAUCGAAUCUUUGAACGCACAUUGCGCCCGCUGGUAUUCCGGCGGGCAUGCCUGUUCGAGCGUCAUUUCAACCCUCAAGCCCCCGGGUUUGGUGUUGGGGAUCGGCUCUGCCCUUCUGGGCGGUGCCGCCCCCGAAAUACAUUGGCGGUCUCGUUGCAGCCUCCAUUGCGUAGUAGCUAACACCUCGCAACUGGAACGCGGCGCGGCCAUGCCGUAAAACCCCAACUUCUGAAUGUUGACCUCGGAUCAGGUAGGAAUACCCGCUGAACUUAAGCAUAUCAAUAAGCGGAGGA
rnacentral:misc_RNA from 1 species